rnacentral:rRNA from 1 species
UACGUAGGGUGCGAGCGUUAAUCGGAAUUACUGGGCGUAAAGCGUGCGCAGGCGGUAAGUUAAGUCUGAUGUGAAAGCCCCGGGCUCAACCUGGGAAUGGCAUUGGAAACUGGCUUGCUGGAGUGUGGCAGAGGGGGGUGGAAUUCCGCGUGUAGCAGUGAAAUGCGUAGAGAUGCGGAGGAACACCGAUGGCGAAGGCAGCCCCCUGGGCCAAUACUGACGCUCAUGCACGAAAGCGUGGGGAGCAAACAGG